UUGAAUGCCCCUUUAAAAGUUUUUGGGGCCCGAACGGCGCGUUAACAUGACGGAGGCCAGGGGAUUAAUUCCUUGCCCGGAAGGCCCGGGGUAAUUCUUGUUAAAUUCCUCGUGCUGGGGAUAGAACAAUUGCCAAUUAUUUGCUCUUCAACGAGGAAUCCUAGUAAGCGCAAGAAUCAGCUUGCGUUGAUUACGUCCCUGCCCUUUGUACACACCGCCCGUCGCUACUACCGAAUUGAAUGGCUCAGUGAGGGCGUCCGGACUGGCCCAGGGAGGUGGGCAACUACCACCCAGGGCCGGAAAGCUCUCCAAACUCGGUCAUUUAGAGGAAGUAAAAGUCGUAACAAGGUCUCCGUUGGUGAACCAGCGGAGGGAUCAUUACCGAGUUAUCCAACUCCCAACCCCUGUGAAUUAUACCUUUAAUUGUUGCUUCGGCGGGACUUCGCGCCCGCCGGGGACCCAAACCUUCUGAAUUUUUUAAUAAGUAUCUUCUGAGUGGUUAAAAAAAUGAAUCAAAACUUUCAACAACGGAUCUCUUGGUUCUGGCAUCGAUGAAGAACGCAGCGAAAUGCGAUAAGUAAUGUGAAUUGCAGAAUUCAGUGAAUCAUCGAAUCUUUGAACGCACAUUGCGCCCGUCAGUAUUCUGGCGGGCAUGCCUGUUCGAGCGUCAUUACGCCCCUCAAGUCCCCUGUGGACUUGGUGUUGGGGAUCGGCGAGGCUGGUUUUCCAGCGCAGCCGUCCCUCAAAUCAAUUGGCGGUCUCGCCGUGGCCCUCCUCUGCGCAGUAGUAAAACACUCGCAACAGGAGCCCGGCGCGGUCCACUGCCGUAAAACCCCCCAACUUUUUAUAGUUGACCUCGAAUCAGGUAGGACUACCCGCUGAACUUAAGCAUAUCAAUAAGCGGAGGAAAAGAAACCAACAGGGAUUGCCCCAGUAACGGCGAGUGAAGCGGCAACAGCUCAAAUUUGAAAUCUGGUCCCCAGGGCCCGAGUUGUAAUUUGCAGAGGAUGCUUUUGGUGAGGUGCCUUCCGAGUUCCCUGGAACGGGACGCCAUAGAGGGUGAGAGCCCCGUCUGGUUGGAUACCGAGCCUCUGUAAAGCUCUUCGACAGUCGAGUAGUUUGGGAAUUGUGCUAAAUGGGAGGAUAUGUUUCUAAGCUAAUUUUGGCCA
rnacentral:rRNA from 1 species